rnacentral:rRNA from 1 species
UACAGAGGAUGCAAGCGUUAUCCGGAAUGAUUGGGCGUAAAGCGUCUGUAGGUGGCUUUUUAAGUCUGCCGUCAAAUCCCAGGGCUUAACCCUGGACAGGCGGUGGAAACUACCAAGCUGGAGUACGGUAGGGGCAGAGGGAAUUUCCGGUGGAGCGGUGAAAUGCGUAGAGAUCGGAAAGAACACCAGCGGCGAAGGCACUCUGCUGGGCCGACACUGACACUGAGAGACGAAAGCUAGGGGAGCAAAUGGG